rnacentral:sRNA from 1 species
GUUUUUAUGAGAAUUAUGCCGAGAUAGGUAACAGAUGAGGAUGAAAUUUGAGCUUUGGAGGGGGAUACCUGAUAUCCUUUGGAGAAUAAAUGCUGAAGGAGCAGAAGUGUGUCUUGUUGAGAAGAUUCAAAGGAGGGGCUACAAAGAAGAAGGUCAUCAAUAUAUUGAGUAAGGGUGGCAAUGACCAUGAGAUCUUCACAGACCCCAGAACCAUGGGCUACUCCGUGACAGCGCCUGAGGACACGCGCAGGAUCUGUGAAAUGCUGUUCUCCUAACGCGGGAGCGGGAGGGGUGGGGUCCCGGCUGACAGGCCAGCAUAGGGCAUUCGGUGGCCAGAGCCGAGGGUCCUCCCACACGUGCUCACCCACCCGCAGCCCAGGCAGGCUCUGCGUGCUAUGCCAGGCAUGUGCAGUCUGGACCUCCACCUCCGGUGCCAGAAACUUCCAGAAGGAAGGAGAAAACUCUUGUCAAGAAUGGCCCAGAGGAAUGCCUCCCACAAAAGGUCUUCCCCACCCACCCCCAGCCCCCUAGUCUAAAACCCACCCUGAUACGUGCAAUGAUGUAGUUUU